rnacentral:lncRNA from 1 species
AUUUAGACUAAAUAAAACGUGUUUUGGAUCUUGCAGUUCUUGGAAGGCAAUGCACUGGGCUAAUGCAUUAGUCCAGAUUAUUAAUGGAAUAUUUUUUUUUCCAGCGUGCAUGCCAAAAAACACUUAGUGGAGCUGCAGAGAGGAAACCCAAGAACUCGAAAUGGGUGCAUUCACUUGAGAAAUGUGAACAGGGCUGCAUAUCAUCAGCCAGGCUUCAAGACGUCUUGGCUGCCUUGGUGGUGUAAACUUCAGUAUCGUUCAAUACACACUCACUGGUGAGUGAAUUCACAUAAUAAUUUCUAACAAUUGCCUUUGAUCGAACUCCAUCAGCCUGUAGGAAA